AAGGCCUGGCGCUUCAUGAUGAGCCCGCGGCCUAUCAGCUAGUUGGCAGGGUAACGGCCUACCAAGGCGAAGACGGGUAGCUGGUCUGAGAGGACGACCAGCCACACUGGAACUGAGACACGGUCCAGACACCUACGGGUGGCAGCAGUCGAGAAUUUUUCACAAUGGGCGCAAGCCUGAUGGAGCGACGCCGCGUGGGGGAUGAAUGGCUUCGGCCCGUAAACCCCUGUCAUUUGCGAACAAACCUCAUUAUUUAAAAGAUGAUGAGUUGAUGGUAGCGAAAGAGGAAGGGACGGCUAACUCUGUGCCAGCAGCCGCGGUAAUACAGAGGUCCCGAGCGUUGUUCGGAUUCACUGGGCGUAAAGGGUGCGUAGGUGGCGAGGUAAGUCGGAUGUGAAAUCUCGGAGCUCAACUCCGAAACGGCAUUGGAAACUACCUUGCUCGAGGGUUGGAGGGGGGACUGGAAUACUUGGUGUAGCAGUGAAAUGCGUAGAUAUCAAGUAGAACACCAGUGGCGAAGGCGAGUCCCUGGACAACUCCUGACACUGAGGCACGAAAGCUAGGGGAGCAAACAGGAUUAGAUACCCUGGUAGUCCUAGCCGUAAACGGUGCACGUUUGCUGU
rnacentral:rRNA from 1 species